CGAUGAUUAGGCAACAAUCCUUUUGUUUACUUUGUGGGUCUAGUUGCCGCAGGACUGGAUGGUGGGAGUGGCUAGUUGCAUAGUAACUAUGUAUCAGCUUUAGUGUGGAAUGGAAUUCAGAACUGGUUAGUCUCAUCCCAGAACACUCCCUCUAGUUGACACUUGCUCCCUGUCUUUUAAAGAUCACCUCAGCUCUAAUAUUUCCAGAUGCUAGUGAAUGUUUCUAAGUCAGUUUGCUACUGAAGAUCUCUACCGGCAAAUUAUUUUUACAUCGGCCCCCAGAAUUGGCACCGCACAGCAUGCUAUGUGUACAUAUCUUGGCUUCUGAACAAGAAGGACCACAAGGAACAGCCUACGCUGUUGAAGCAGUUGUAGACUAUCUGUUAUUAAUGCUGAGAGCUCAUCUCUGACUCCAGUGGCCUCUACCCAGGCUCUCCAUCCACAAAGGACAAGAACUGCCCAGCGCUUACUUUUCCAGAAAGCAGACGCCACAGAAGGCACUGUUUCUACCUUGCCUGGCAAAGAUCAUUGGAAAAUGAAUGGUAACUGACAUUGUUGGAAACACUUCCCUUUUCAGAUCCAUGAAAGGCGUUGGGUUCUGAGAUGCAAGCGAGAUCUCCCACCCCGCCCCCCCAAAAAACCCAAAAUAGCUUUAAAAUAUUAAAUAAAUAAGAACAACCUGGCACUUUA